UGCAGUCUGGUCAGAUUCAGCCUUCAUUUCCACUGAAGUGGGAGCUGUCACAUGGCCUCCGUGGCAGGUGCCAGCUCACGUCCAGCUUCCUGUCCUGGAACCUAGGGGCAAGUUUGGCUGUGAACAUGG
ensembl:snoRNA